ensembl:lncRNA
AAAACCAGCACCAAGCUGCUCAACUUUAACAGCAACCAUGACCAACUCCGCUCUGAUUUACAUCUUUUUCUUCAUCAUUGUUUCUAAAAUCUCCGUUUCUUUCCAUUCACUGAAUCUCUGUUCACAUGUACAUAGGUAUUUUUUUAAAAUAUGUAGCUUUUUCUCGCGUUUUGGCCUUUCACCGGCAUGUAAAUGCAGUUUUUAAAAAUAUUUUUUUUGUGAAGUGUUCACAUUAUCACCUUUAUUUAUAUAAGCCGACAAAAUAGUGGAAGACUUUAUUAUACAUAAUAAAGUCAUCAAUAAAAAAUACAUCUUUAUACAUAAAUUCUAUUCAGAAAUGUCAGGUUUUAUAUUGUUUGUGGCCUACAUGAGGAAGGAAAUGCCAUUUUUAAGGCUUCUGACUUGCCAAUAUGCUUUAUCGUCAGGAUUAUGUCGCCCCCUGCUGGUGUGUCAGACUCAUUACAUGGACUCAAUUGUGUUUUUGAAUGAACAUCAGGAUGGGGGUUGUUAAUAUAUAAUGUUAGUCAUAAUUCGGAAAGCCCCUGUUUAAACAGUCCCUCUUUAGUUUGAAACUAGUAAACAUAGUAAAAGUUACGCAUUUUAAAAAUAAAACUCAUUAAUGUGGACUUGGUCUGUAAUCAAAGUUACUCCAAGAAGGAAGACCUUGUUGGUAAACCUGUUAUUAAUUCACUUCCUGACACCUGAUCUGCUCCUGAUGAUGGUUUUAUAGUAAAACUAAAAGAUUGAAACUUUUUUUUUUUUUUUUUUUGGAGUAAAUGUACAAAUAUACAGCGUGCUUUAAAUCAGAAAUGCGUCGCUCUAAAUUCAAUUUGGUGGGAAAUUAUUUUCUGAUCCAGGGAGAAAAUUGAUGUUAGCAGAAUUUCUCAGCUAAACAUGUACAACAUUAUGUUAAAUAAGAGGGAGCACUGAUGUGACUAAUAAUCAAGCAUCAACCAGCUGAAAUGGACCCUUUAUUGUCAUUAAUUAGAAUACAUACAUAUCAGCUGCCUUUGUAAUGUCAUGUCAAAAUUUCUACAGCAAGAAAGUCCUGGUUUCUUUCACUACAGCACACUUUCACCUGACAUUUUUUCCCCUUUACUAGAUAGUCAAAGUGGAAAUGUGGUGAAAGAGAGAGCGAGAGGAAGAUCCAGCCAACUGAAAUAUGGACGACCCUAACUGCUUCCCAUGUAAUAUUCAACACGCGUGUCCGUCACAGCCAAACAAAGAGGUCACUGGGGCGGAGGAGGCUGAUUCCUGGAUGGGAUGUCGGUCUGUUCUAUGAGCUCAUCAGCGAGGUUUGACCACAAACAGGAUUUACAUCAGAAAGGCAGGAAGGUGUCGGCUAAUAGAGUGAAAACUAUCCAGAGGCCAGCAGGGAAACAACAUAUUUGAACUUCUUUCAGUGUUUUUAUCCCAUUUCUUUGUUUUUGUGUUGUUUUAAUUGGUUUCAUUUCAUGCAAUAUGUGUGUUUGCAUGUCGGUGUUUGUGUUUGUUUGGUAAACAUAUGAACAUUUGUGUUGUGUGUUGGAAGAAAACAAACCAAGAAAUUAACUUCAUCACUGAGCAACAAACAUCAGUCAGGAUAUGAAAUAAGUUG